GAAAGGGCGACUGAUCGUGGGGAGGAAGCAUGGGGCAUAAAUCGCGAGCCGAUGAACAAGAAUCGCAUAGAAGGCGCUGCCGAACAGGGCGAGCGGGCACAAAACCGCGAAGCUUUCGUGACCAAAGUGAAGCGUAAGCGAUCGAUAUCGACGUCUAUCCAACGGCACUCUGAGCGAGGAGUAUAGAU
rfam:Candidatus Burkholderia pumila strain TZHbot3 BPMIctg102, whole genome shotgun sequence.